CGGACUAGAAGGCUGGGGACAGAUUCUGAGGCUCCGGCAGUCCAGGCAGGUGACCAGGGCCGAGGCCAGAGCUCCCAGGAAGGGAUGGACAGAAUAAUGUUGACGAAGGAGGACCUCCAGGCAAGAUGCCAAGGAAGAGAAAGGAAAUGGGAUUUGGUGAAUUUCGUCCCUGUCUCCUUAGGGAGGCCAGGAGAGUGGAGGAGGAAGCGGUCAGCGGCACCACAAGGCAGUGCUGCCGGCCUGAUGUGAUGUGAAUCACGUCCCGGGGGGCCUGGCCACACCCCGAGGCAGUCUGGUUGCAGCUCCAUCGUCCAGAGUCUGACUCACGGCCACUGGUUCACUCGGCAACAGGUCGGGACAGCUUCCUCCGACCAAUCUCACUGGGAACUGAAUUUAGGUAGAAGACCUGCUCCAGGAAGGGAGUAUAUUCACCUAUAACUAUAGGCAUUGCCUUCCUGCCCUUUGAAGUCCCAAAUCACAGCCCCCACCCUUCUCCUUAGCUCAAGAUGGCAUAUAAGCCUUCACUGCCCCAUCUGUCCUGGGGUCUCAUAUUCUUAAGGAACCCAUGUAUGUACAUAAUUAACAAAGUUGGUCAUUUUCUCCCAUAAAUCCAUCUCAUGUUAAUUUGAUUAUUAGUCCAGCCAGAGGAACUUAAAAGAGUAGGAGGAAAAAUUGUGUUUGCCCACAAUGACCAGUUAUACCAAGUCAGAGAUUUCCACUACUCCCUCCUCAGGUUAGAUUAAUUUUCUAGAGUGGCUUAUAGAACUCAGGACAACAGUUUGCUUAC